AUUUUUCUCCUCUAGGGGGCUUUUUUUCCUCGCGCGCUGUGUGAAUUACCUGCAGCAGCAAUUUCUGCUCGACUGAGUUUUUUGCGCUCGAGUUUUGAAAGGGGUGUUUUUGGCAGUUUGGGGGGGAGUCAGGGUCGCCUCCCUCAGCGAACGCUAUUGGCCGAUAUCUCCACAGUUUGUGACGGACCGCCUACUACCAGCAGUCUCCUUCAGAGAGCAACGAUGGAGGGCGAGGAGGAGCGACAGCAGAUACAGUUACAGGAUGCAGCUAGGCACAUUGUGGGGAUGCUGAGGAAGGCAUUGAAAUCUCCUUCUCAAAAUGAUGGAGCUCCAGUUCAGAGAGGCCAGACGUCAGGGACCCCAGGGUCAAAGCGACAGAUGGUCUCAAGACCUGUCCAGCCAACCGUGUCCACUGCUUCACGCAGCAAACUGGAUGAGAAUAU